rnacentral:SRP_RNA from 1 species
GCCUGACGUGGUGGCAGGUGCCUGUAAUCGCAGCUACUUGGGAGGCUGAGGCAGGAGAAUCGCUUGAACUCAGGAGGUGGAGGUUGCAGUGAGCUGAGAUGGUGCCACUGAACUCCAGCCUGGGCGACAAAAGCGAAACUCCAACUCAAAAAAUAAAUAAAUAAAAUAUAGAUAGAUAGAUAGAUAGAUAGAUAGAUAGAUAGUGACCUGCCAGGAGCAGGGGACCACCGGGUUGCCUAAGGAGGGGUGAACUGUCCCAGGAUGGAAAUGAAACAGGUCAAAACUCCUGUGUUGAUCAAUAGUGAGAGAGCACCUGUGAAUAACCACUGCACUCCAGCCUGGGCAACAUAGUGAGACCCGAUCUAUA